rnacentral:rRNA from 1 species
UACGUAGGGGGCGAGCGUUGUCCGGAUUUAUUGGGCGUAAAGAGCUCGUAGGCGGCUUGGCAAGUCGGGUGUGAAAACUCCAGGCUCAACCUGGAGACGCCACUCGAGACUGCUAUGGCUAGAGUCCGGUAGGGGACCACGGAAUUCCCGGUGUAGCGGUGAAAUGUGUAGAGAUCGGGAGGAACACCGGUGGCGAAGGCGGGUCUCUGGGCAAUUCCUGACGCUGAGGCGCGAAAGCGUGGGGAGCAAACGGG